AAAUAAGAAGCAAUAUUUGCAAUUAGUUUCGACCUAACCUUUGAUAUUAAAUUAUCCUUAUUUA
rnacentral:tRNA from 1 species